UGGAAUAAAGGUCACUGAAGAGGAGCGAAGUAAAUUCAAAGAUAAUGAAGUUGACGGAGAAGCAGUGGACUAUGGAUUGACUGAGAGGAUGGUUUCAUACCUCUUUGAAGGAUCGUUUAAGAAGCAAGCCAAAUUCAACCGAUUUGUACAGCAGUGGAAAGAAACCGUGACACUAACCGUUGAGCCUGUCCCGGUACAUUCAGAGAAGGCUACAGUGGAAUCAAGAAUGAAUAUCUGCCGAAGAUUUUAAGAUGGCUUUAAGAUCCUAGUACCCACAGUGCUUAGACUGACUCAAAGGAAAUCUCCCCUUGCUUUGGAGGAAAGAGAGGCUGCCCUCACCGAAGAUGUCCCUGGUAAGUGACUCACUGAUCAGCCGUGGUCACCCCUAGUGUUGUGGAGCCAUUUAAGCUUAAUUUCUUUUCUAUUUGUCUUCAGACAAGAUAAGGCCUA